AAAUUCCCCACGAAUGCCAUAUUUACCAAAAAAAUUACUCCAUGAAUCAAAAGUACCUGGGUAGUGCUUUUUGGGAAGGGAAAUUAUUAGAGUACCUUCAUGUAUUGUUUUUCUUUAAAAAGUAAUAAAUAGAAAUUUUUGGGGCCCACUUGGUAUGUGCAUGACAUCCAACCUGUCAAAACAUAUACACCCAUCCAUUGAAACCACACUAACCAAAAAUCUUUCUAAUCGAAUCACUAGAUGGGCUGCACAUCAAUUUUGAUAUUUUCAAGUAGUGUAUAUUAUAUUUUUAUGGUGUGGCUCAACUUAUGUUUAGAUUGAUCAAAUUUUUUGGUCAUUAUAAACAUCAUGGUGGAUUACAUCUAUCGGACUGGUUAGAUAUCAUACAAAUAUCAUGUGGGCCCCACAAUUUUCUAAAUUAUCACUUUCUACAGAAAAAAGUAUACAAUGGACAUUAUGGUAAUUUCUCCACUUGAAAAGCAUUUCCCUGCCAUUUUGGUUUGUAGAGGCAUUAUUUGGUAAAAUACUAAUUCCUGAGGAAUUCUGCCGUAAAAAUCCCUGUGAAGUAACCCUUCAAAAAUGCUCUCCCUUUUUUUUUUCCCCAUUCAAGUCAUUCAGGUAAAAUGGAAAUAGUGUUCUUUUAGGGCCCGUUUGGAUUGCAAAUUACAGCUGUAAUGUAAUGUAAAAACACCAUCAUUACAAUUUUACAACGUUUGUUUAAAUGCGUAAAUCGGCACGUAAUUCGACAGUCAAAUGCAGAUGUAAAAGGAGACAAAUUAAGGAAUUUGUAAUCAUUACAAUUUUACAUUGUAUUGCAGUGAAAAUCCUGUCCAAACACAGACAUCGUUGUAUUUUUCUUGUUGGUUUGACAUUUCAGUAAUAUAAAAGUAUUCUCAUUACAAUUUUACCACGCCUAGCCAAACACAGAAAUUGUUGGUCAAAUUACCUGUUUUCCAGGAGAUAGGUAUUGUAAUUUGUAAGCAUUGCACUUUUUACAAUACUGUAUGGCCGUAAUUCGCAAUUCGAACAGGCCUUAGGUGAUGGUUGAAUGAUCUGCUGUUUAUUGGGAUGAUUCAAAAAAGGGGAAAAGGAAAAAAAAAAACAAAAAAAAAGGCUGUUUCCUGCUAUUUGUAAAGUCCCUUGUGUUUGCUAAAAUAAUCCUUUUGAAACUCAAUAAUCCUGAAACUCCAUCUCAUUCUUCACAUGCCUUCAUGAUCAGGUUCAAGAAUGAUGUUGACAUAUAGUAAUUGGAUAGCUUUAUUUUUGUAAUAAUGAUCCAUUAAGAACUUAACAUAAAUAUGGUUACAUGAAUGCACUACGAGAGGGAGACACACACCACCCCCCC